CAGUAGCCGCGGGAAUACGUAGGGUGCAAGCGUUAAUCGGAAUUACUGGGCGUAAAGCGUGCGCAGGCGGUUAUUUAAGACAGAUGUGAAAUCCCCGGGCUCAACCUGGGAACUGCAUUUGUGACUGUAUAGCUAGAGUACGGCAGAGGGGGAUGGAAUUCCGCGUGUAGCAGUGAAAUGCGUAGAUAUGCGGAGGAACACCGAUGGCGAAGGCAAUCCCCUGGGCCUGUACUGACGCUCAUGCACGAAAGCGUGGGGAGCAAACAGGAUUAGAUACCCGCGUAGUCCCUGUCUCUUAUAC
rnacentral:rRNA from 1 species